CAGCAGCCGCGGUAAUACGUAGGUGGCAAGCGUUGUCCGGAAUUACUGGGCGUAAAGGGCUCGCAGGCGGUUUCUUAAGUCUGAUGUGAAAGCCCCCGGCUCAACCGGGGAGGGUCAUUGGAAACUGGGAAACUUGAGUGCAGAAGAGGAGAGUGGAAUUCCACGUGUAGCGGUGAAAUGCGUAGAGAUGUGGAGGAACGCCAGUGGCGAAGGCGACUCUCUGGUCUGUAACUGACGCUAAGGAGCGAAAGCGUGGGGAGCGAACAGGAUUAGAUACCCCAGUAGUCCCUGUCUCUUAUAA
rnacentral:rRNA from 1 species